rnacentral:rRNA from 1 species
AUUGAACGCUGGCGGCAGGCCUAACACAUGCAAGUCGAGCGGAUGAAGGGGGCUUGCUCCUGGAUUCAGCGGCGGACGGGUGAGUAAUGCCUAGGAAUCUGCCUGGUAGUGGGGGAUAACGUCCUGAAACGGGCGCUAAUACCGCAUGCGUCCUGAGGUAGAAAGUGGGGGAUCUUCGGACCUCACGCUAUCAGAUGAGCCUAGGUCGGAUUAGCUAGUUGGUGGGGUAACGGCCUACCAAGGCGACGAUGCGUAACUGGUCUGAGAGGAUGAUCAGUCACACUGGAACUGAGACACGGUCCAGACUCCUACGGGAGGCAGCAGUGGGGAAUAUUAGACAAUGGGCGAAAGCCUGAUCCAGCCAUGCCGCGUGUGUGAAGAAGGUCUUCGGAUUGUAAAGCACUUUAAGUUGGGAGGAAGGGAAGUAAGUUAAUACCUUGCUGUUUUGACGUUACCAACAGAAUAAGCACCGGCUAACUUCGUG